GUCUAGCUUCUUUGUCUCUUUCGCGUCUACAGACUAAUGGCGAUAAGGGUUUCAAAAUACGCUCUUUCAUCUUCUUCUCUUUAACGAUACAAGUAAUGAAAUUAUCAUUUAACUCCUCCGUUAAUCGAUUAUCCACGAUCAACAUUCAAUGCGAGUUUUAGUUAUGCAGGGCGGUGGAUUUCAAAUAUAAAAAGAAUGGUCGCUCCUCCUCCACCGUUGAAGUUCGCAUGCUCCAUUUCUGGGAGGCUAGGAAUGUCCGCUGUGGUUGAGAUCUCAUGGGAUGUUCAUGCUCCUUCUUGAUUCUCAGGUGAUUCUCAUACCAGCCACCGUGAUGUCUGGCCACUUUCAGGCAUCCCCUCAAGGCAGGCUCCAUGUUCUCUGUCAGUGGAUUUGGGAUUGUUUUUUCUGAGGAAGCUUAUACUAUUCUUGAAGAAAUGAAUGUUACUGAAACCAAUAUAACCCGAGUGGGUUUGGUUCCUGGUGAAACAAGUUCUACUGCGUUAGAUGGGGUUGGUUCCUUUAUCAGGAGGUAAUGAUAUUCCAAUUUAAUAUCUGAUUUUUGUUUGAUACUGAUAUCAACCAGAUGAAUUCGGACGCUUGGUUGAGAAACUAUGAUUCUCCUGGGGGAUGUUGAGUUGAGUCCACCAAAGUCUACCAUCAGCAUGUAUGUAUAGACCAUGUUUCCUGUUAGCUUUUUUGGAUUCAAUAUUAGAUUUUAUUGAGCUCACUCUGUUGAAAACCAAGGCUCAUGAAAUGCUUAAGAACAAUGAGAUUACCAAACCGGUUGCUACAAUUGAUUGAGCUCGGGUUGGGUCAAAUAGUCCUAAGGGGAAGAAGAUAUACAGCCAUAAACAAGAACCAAGCAUUGGAUAUCGACGAGAGGCUUCCUCGCCAUUAAAACAAUAUAAACUAUGCAUUUAGGAGAUCAAAAAGGUUUUGUGACUUUUACUUAUUUAUACAUCAUUGGUUUUUGGUUUCAUUUAAGAUGGUGACUCAAAUGGAGAGCACAAAGUUGUAGAGAUCUAAAGUAACAACAUGAUUAUAGAAACUCCUGCGGUAGAUUAUUAUGUCGUCUAUUUUUUUUUUUUUGACAACUAUGUCAGUCUAUAUGUCUUGCUUUCAGUUACUCCUCA